CUCUGUUGCGUGUUGUUACACCUGGCCAACCUAGCUGGGACAAUGGCCUACUCAUGGCGAUCCACGUGGCAUUUAUGCCGAGGUGGGCUACAUCCGAACUCUUUCGAGCCGAAGUCCAUCUGCCGAGGCUCCUUUUUGUCCGAGGCCCAUUGACCAAGGCCUACGAACCGAAGCCAGGCUGCUGAAACCUAUUGAGAGCAGCUGAGGCCCUCAAGUGGAAGUAUCAUGACAUGGCCGAAACCCCAAAGAUGAUGCGCGAGCCUCUGAACCACAAGGAAACAUCCUCCAUGGUCACUUCUUCCAAGAGAUCGCCUGCACAGAUCUUAUUUGAAUGAUUGAUGGAACGUUUGUCAUAAGCAUAAAAGUCAAGUCUUGUCACUAGCAUGGAGGCCCUGCACAAGCAAUAAAUGCGUCGCAAGCUAGCAAGUCAAGCCUCAUACCUACGAAAAGAUAUUUGAACUAAAGAGAUGAGGCCACGAGCCACUUCAUCCAAGGGCUCACAUUUCAUAUGUACUACUAUAAAUACUUCUCUUGUGUAAUAUCAAAAGGCUAAUACAAGAAUCAAUACAAAGAACUCCAUUUACUAAACUCUCUCUCAUUUUACUUGCAAUACACAAAUCGAGUUUAUAUACAUUUACAUAUACAUUUAUGAACACCGGUUGGUAAUUAUUGUACAAUCGGAUUACGAACAACCCGCCGGAUUCCGAACGUCACCGUCCCGCGUCGUUGGGCUACUUCCACGCCCUUUGAACCGCUCAUUUUAGACCGUCCACGUGUCUUAGCGUGUUGGACAUUCGCCCACGCAAGCGCGAGUGGGACCGACAUCUGUUGGCGCACUUUUUGGGGUCAACAGAUUGGCGCCGUCUGUGGGAAACCAUACCAUAACCACGAGCAACGUUGUGGUAAAAGUUUACUGAAAAACAUUUGGGCAACCCCCCUUGAAAAAGGAUUUGUUCUUGAAAAAGAACAGGAGGAACC
rnacentral:lncRNA from 1 species